rnacentral:miRNA from 14 species
UGUGAACCACCUUGUGGGUGUUAGGAACACAACUCAAGUCCUCUGUAAGAGGAACAAGUGUUCUUAAC